GGCCUGUUGGUGAAGUGACUUAACACAUACCCCUUUCACGGGUACAUUCAUGAGUUUGAAUCUCAUACAGGUCACCA
rnacentral:tRNA from 1 species